rnacentral:rRNA from 1 species
UGGGGAAUAUUGGACAAUGGGCGAAAGCCUGAUCCAGCCAUGCCGCGUGUGUGAAGAAUGUCUUCGGAUUGUAAAGCACUUUAAGUUGGGAGGAAGGGCAGUAAGCGAAUACCUUGCUGUUUUGACGUUACCGACAGAAUAAGCACCGGCUAACUCUGUGCCAGCAGCCGCGGUAAUACAGAGGGUGCAAGCGUUACUCGGAAUUACUGGGCGUAAAGCGCGCGAAGGUGGUUCGUUAAGUUGAAUGUGAAAGCCCCGGGCUCAACCUGGGAACUGCAUGCAAAACUGGCGAGCUAGGGUAGGGCAGAGGGUGGUGGAAUUUCCUGUGUAGCGGUGAAAUGCGUAGAUAUAGGAAGGAACACCAGUGGCGGAGGCGACCACCAGAACUCAUACUGACACUGAGGUGCGAAAGCGUGGGGAGCAAACAGG